AGGACGAACGCUGGCGGCGUGCUUAACACAUGCAAGUCACGGGGGCCCGCAAGGGCAACCGGCGAACGGGUGCGUAACACGUGAGCAACCUGCCUUUGUGUGGGGGAUAGCCGGGCUAACGCCCGGGUAAUACCGCAUACGGUCACCGAGAGGAGUCUCUUGGUGAAGAAACCUCCGGGGCACGAAGAGGGGCUCGCGGCCUAUCAGCUAGUUGGCGGGGUAAUGGCCCACCAAGGCGACGACGGGUAGCUGGUCUGAGAGGAUGGCCAGCCACAUUGGGACUGAGACACGGCCCAAACUCCUACGGGAGGCAGCAGUGGGGAAUCUUGCGCAAUGGGCGAAAGCCUGACGCAGCCAUGCCGCGUGAAUGAUGAAGGUCUUAGGAUUGUAAAAUUCUUUCACCGGGACGAUAAUGACGGUACCCGGAGAAGAAGCCCCGGCUAACUUCGCGCCAGCAGCCGC
rnacentral:rRNA from 1 species